rnacentral:rRNA from 2 species
CUCAAAGAUUAAGCCAUGCAAGUGGUUAUUUAACCCGACAGUUUAAAUAAGUGUUAACACCGUACAAAACACGGGUUUAUUUACUAAAAAUAAAAUAAACCAAAAUACACGAUGCGAUAAAAAAACGUAUCACUUAUGCAACUGCAGACAGCUGCNUAAUACAGUCACACUUGCCUUGACUUGGCACACCUUACAUACACACACACACGAUGUUGUUGUAAACAAUUGAAUGAUUUCUUUCACCGUUAUCACUUCAUACACACUCACUACACACGGAUAACUCAGGGAAAGUUUGGCUAAUACGUACGAGUCUACCNACACACACACACACUCUCUCUCUCACACAUUCAAAACACAUCGUUUACUCAGCACUCAAUGGUAAACUUUGAGCUGCUUCGGCACUCAGUUAUAAGUUUAGACGCAACAUGAGAGACAUUGAGCACGCAGUGAUCUUCGGGUCACAUUACGCUGAGCAGACUUUGCGAAUUUUAUUUGCGAAGCAUGUCAUACAAGCAUCUACAGCAUCAAGUCACAGGGUUGGCACGUGUAUUUUUGAACCUUCAAAGCAGUCACGCAUACGGAAGAGUAGUUUCUGAUCCCAUAGAAGGAGCACCGUACAAUGAGAGACGGCUCUUAGUUCUAAGGAACGCAGCAGGCGCGUAAAUUGCCCAAUGUUAGUACCCUACAAUUUUGUUAAUCAACUUAUUUUAGACUAUCACAACACAAACAUCCUUGUCUAACAAUACUGUGAUAAACUCAAUAUAUUUAUUGAGGCAGUGACAAGCUGUAACGGUUGAGUAUAAUAAUGACGAGUGUCUGACCUUGCCGCUCCUUCGGGAGCUUGGCGAGUUGUCGACGCUUUGUGUGCUCAAUUGGAAUGCGGUGAGUUUAAGCAACUCAGAACCUUUGUAUUGGUGUUUGGCAACAUUCACCUUUGCAUGUAUCUGAAUUUCAAGUGGAGGGCAAGUCUGGUGCCAGCAGCCGCGGUAAUACCAGCUCCACUGGCCUAUACAAUCAUUGUUGCGGUUAAGAGGCUCGUAGUUGGAUUGAACAAUAUUUGUUUAUUUACGUAUUUUACGUGAUAAAACAUAAUAUAUAACUCGACAACCACACACACACACAGCUAAACGAGUGAGUCUGUUAUGCACGUAACUUACAUCACUUACAAUAAACAUACAUUUCAACACUGUGAACAAAUCAGAGUGUAUCAAACAGGUCGUUUUUUCAUGUGCCUUGAAUGUCUUAUCAUGGGAUGUUGCAUUAUGAUUAACGUCUUUUUGUCUCAACACACUCGUUAUACACACACACCCAACACUAAACUGUGUGGACAAAAAAAUAUGCAAAACGCAUAUAUCAUGUCGAUGGGGAUAGUUGGAGUCAACAGUACUGCUGGGCGAGAGGUGAAAUUCAUUGACCCUAGCAAGACUACCAAAAGCGAAAGCAGUUGGCUAGGCUAUACUCUUUGUGUUUGUAUUAGUUUACACACUAAUUAUACAAUACAAUACACUUUACAAUGAAGAACGAAGNUUGGGGGAUCAAAGAGGAUCAGAUACCCUCGUCGUCCCAUUAAUUACAUCAAACGAUGGGCUCUCAAUUGCAUUCUACAGUCAUGUAGAUUUGAUCUCUCCUCAACCUGCAAACAUAAAUUGCUGGCUUGAGCUCGUAUUUCGAUACGCUCGCCUCUAACUUUGUUAGUACGGUCUCGACGGACUUUUCUGUUCUACAUACAAUCUUUGCGUGUAAGCAUCGUUCACAACAUCUUUACAUGUUGGAACUGCGUGCACUUGAUUUUCGGAGCUUUGCGCUCAAAUUAAUACUGGUGAGAUGUAAGCGUCAUGUCCUUGUUGCCCGCAUUUGCUCGACUUCGGUCUUGUUCAAAUGUCGUGUGCAAUAUUGACAAUAUUUUAUAUGACGUGAAGCACGCGUUAGGCACGCGCUUACUGCAGAAAUGUCUGAGACACUUCUUUCCUGGGGUAGUAUGCACGCAAGUGUGAAACUUGAAGGAAUUGACGGAAGGGCACCACAAGAACGCGUGGAGCAUGUGGCUUAAUUUGACUCAACGCGGGAAAUCUUACCGGGUCCGGACACACUGAGGAUUGACAGGUUUUAUCCAUAUGUUUUACAUAUGGUGUCAAAAAUGCUAGUCCUUUCAUGAUUAUGUGAUAGGUGGUGCAUGGCCGUUCUUAGUUCGUGGAGUGAUCUGUCUGCUUAAUUGCGUUUCACUACGAAUCUACUUUAAACGUGUGUUUGUGAGAUGGACUGAUCCCUCCCACCUCGGUGCGGAGUUGUGCGUCUUUCCAUCGUUAUCACAUCGCACAACGUGGAUUCUGAAAGCAACGAACGUGACCGCAACCUCUUGUUGCCUGUAUUUCCAAACAGUUUGCACUCCGUGCUCUCUGUAUAAACAGGCUUUAUACUAAUAAACUAGAGGGACCGCUGUUACUUUCUUAAACCAGAGGAAGGUUGCGGCAAUAACAGGUCUGUGAUGCCCUUAGAUGUUCCGGGCUGCACACGUGCUACAAUGAUUAUUGCAGUGAGCAUCUCAUAUUUUACACAUCACUUGCAUGAGCUCCUUAGCCUCUGGUUAUGGUGUCUUUAUGCGUGAUAAAGCCUGCUUCGAAAGUAAGUGGGUAAUCAAUUAGAAGUAAUGAUUUCCUUUAUAUGCACAUUUAUGUUUGGCACUGAUCCCCAGUUCUAUUUUUUUAGUUCUUGUGUGCGUUCAGUGGACCUUCGCGGUCUCUUACCAUUCGUGCAAUUGUCAAUUCAUGGUGGGGACAGACCAUUGUUAAUUGUUGGUCUCGGUCUUAACUAGGAAUGCCUUGUACGGGUCUUUGGUUCAACAAACCACCCGGAAUACGUCCCUGCCCUUUGUACACACCGCCCGUCGCUCUUACCGAUGGAUUUCUCUGUGAGUUUGAAGGACUGGCCUUCUGUGCUAUGGAAAUUCAAACGANNANUGUGAUCUAAAGGAAAGAGAAGUCGAACAAGGCA